UAUAAUAAAUAAAAUAACUUUCCCAAGGCCACACAGCUAGUAAGUGUCUGAGGUUGUAUUUGAGCCAAGGUCUUCCUUACUCCAGGCCCAUCACUCUAACCACUGAACUACCUGUAUAAUAUUUGUGAUGCAUUUUAGUUUUGACUUCAACACUAUAUUUCCCUUUUAUCUGUAAUCCAUCAAUGAAAAUGAUUAAAGGGAUUUUUUAAAAAUUCAUUUCCAUUUCUGAGAGAUAAUUGAUGAAUAAAUAAGUUGAUAUCAGAGUUUUAUUGAAAAUUCAAGUAUUUCAAAAGCCUUCUUGAAGUAGCUUCUCAUAUUUAGUAAAUUUAUCAUAUUCAAUAUAUUUUGGUAUAGGUUUCUUAUACAUAUUUAUUGAAUUACAGAAGACAGAAGCAAGGCUGUAAAGAAGGCAAGCAGGAAGGAAGAUCCAAAGGACUGGUCCUAAGCAUUUCCUGCCAGGAUUACUGUCACCAACUUCCUUGUUUU
rnacentral:lncRNA from 1 species